GGGAGAUGCGCCGGCACAUGGCGGGGAUGUUGGAGUCGUCGAAGGGGAGGUGGCCGGCGAGGAGGUUGUAGAGGAUGACGCCGCAGGACCAGGCGUCGGCUUUUGAGCCGUCGUAGCCGACGCGGCGGAGGAUCUCUGGCGCGGUGAAGGCCGGCGUGCCGCAGGCGGUGUGGAGGAGACCGUCGUGGAGGUGUUCCGGGAGGGCGGAGAGGCCGAAGUCGGAGACCUUGAGGUUGCCGGCGGCGUCGAGGAGGAGGUUCUGUGGCUUGAGGUCUCGGUGGGCGACGCCAUGGCGGUGGCAGAAGCGGAGAGCGGAGACGAGCUGCGCGAAGUAGCGGCGGGCGAGGGGCUCCGGGAGGCGGCCGCGGCGGGUGAGCUUGGAGAAGAGCUCGCCGCCACCGGCGAAGUCGACGAUGAGGUAGAUCUUGGUCUUGGUGGCGAGGACCUCGUGGAUUUUGAGGAUGUUGGGGUGGUGGUGGAGGCGGCGCAUGGCGUCGAUCUCACGCACGAUGCGGGGCUCCAUGGCGGCGUCCACCGUCUUG
rnacentral:lncRNA from 1 species